rnacentral:rRNA from 1 species
UACGUAGGGGCAAGCGUUGUCCGGAUUUAUUGGGCGUAAAGAGCGUGUAGGCGGCCAGGUAGGUCAGCUGUGAAAACUCGAGGCUCAACCUCGAGACGCCGGUUGAAACCAUCUGGCUAGAGUCCGGAAGAGGAGAGUGGAAUUCCUGGUGUAGCGGUGAAAUGCGCAGAUAUCAGGAAGAACACCCGUGGCUAAGGCGGCUCUCUAGUACGGUACUGACGCUGAGACGCGAAAGCGUGGGGAGCGAACAGGAUUAGAUACCCGU